rnacentral:rRNA from 1 species
UAGGGAAUCUUCCGCAAUGGACGCAAGUCUGACGGAGCAACGCCGCGUGAGUGAAGAAGGAUUUCGGUUCGUAAAACUCUGUUGUUAGAGAAGAACAGCGCAUAGAGUAACUGUUAUGCGUGUGACGGUAUCUAACCAGAAAGCCACGGCUAACUACGUGCCAGCAGCCGCGGUAAUACGUAGGUGGCAAGCGUUGUCCGGAUUUAUUGGGCGUAAAGCGAGCGCAGGCGGUCAAUUAAGUCUGAUGUGAAAGCCCCCGGCUCAACCGGGGAGGGUCAUUGGAACCUGGUUGACUUGAGUGCAGAAGAGGAGAGUGGAAUUCCAUGUGUAGCGGUGAAAUGCGUAGAUAUAUGGAGGAACACCAGUGGAGAAGGCGACUCUCUGGUCUGUAACUAACGCUGAGGCUCGAAAGCGUGGGUAGCAAACAGG